GUGGGUGGCCCAGUGGUUAAGAGCGCUGACCACUCUUGCAGAGGUCCUGAGUUCAGUUCCCAGCACCCACA
rnacentral:tRNA from 1 species